rnacentral:rRNA from 1 species
CAGCAGCAGCCGCGGUAAGACAGAGGAUGCAAGCGUUAUCCGGAAUGAUUGGGCGUAAAGCGUCUGUAGGUGGCUUUUCAAGUCCGCCGUCAAAUCCCAGGGCUCAACCCUGGACAGGCGGUGGAAACCACCAAGCUGGAGUACGGUAGGGGCAGAGGGAAUUUCCAGUGGAGCGGUGAAAUGCGUUGAGAUCGAAAAGAACACCAACAGCGAAAGCACUCUGCUGGGACGACACUGACACUAAGAGACGAAAGCUAGGGGAGCAAAUGGGAUUAGAUACCCCGGUAGUCCCUGUCUCUUAUAA